UACGAAGGGGGCUAGCGUUGCUCGGAAUUACUGGGCGUAAAGGGCGCGUAGGCGGCAUGCCAAGCGUGUGGUGAAAGCCCGGGGCUCAACCCCGGGUCGGCCGUGCGGACUGGCGUGCUCGAGCACUGUAGGGGCGGGUGGAAUUCCGGGUGUAGCGGUGGAAUGCGUAGAGAUCCGGAAGAACACCGGUGGCGAAGGCGGCCCGCUGGGCAGGAAGGCUCGCAAGAGCCGGCUGACGCUGAGGCGCGACAGCGUGGGGAGCAAACAGG
rnacentral:rRNA from 1 species